rnacentral:rRNA from 1 species
GCAUUCGGGCCGGCUAUACAUGCAAGUCGUGGGGCAGCGCAGUGUAGCAAUACAUGGGCGGCGACCGGCAAACGGGUGCGGAACACGUACGCAAUCUACCCAGAACUGGGGCAUAGCCCGGGGAAACCCGGAUUAAUACCCCGUAACAUAAUUGAGGUGGCAUCACUUUAUUAUAAAAGCUCCGGCGGUUUUGGAUGAGCGUGCGGCUGAUUAGGUAGUUGGUGUGGGUAACGGCCCACCAAGCCUUCGAUCAGUAACUGGUGUGAGAGCACGACCAGUCACACGGGCACUGAGACACGGGCCCGACUCCUACGGGAGGCAGCAGUAAGGAAUAUUGGUCAAUGGACGCAAGUCUGAACCAGCCAUGCCGCGUGGAGGAUGAAGGCCCUCUGGGUUGUAAACUUCUUUUAUCUGGGACGAAACCCAUCCAUUCUUGGGUGAUUGACGGUACCAGAGGAAUAAGCACCGGCUAACUCCGUGCCAGCAGCCGCGGUAAUACGGAGGGUGCAAGCGUUAUCCGGAUUCACUGGGUUUAAAGGGUGCGUAGGCGGGCAGGUAAGUCAGUGGUGAAAUCUCCAAGCUUAACUUGGAAACUGCCGUUGAUACUAUCUGUCUUGAAUACUGUGGAGGUGAGCGGAAUAUGUCAUGUAGCGGUGAAAUGCUUAGAUAUGACAUAGAACACCAAUUGCGAAGGCAGCUCACUACACAGCCAUUGACGCUGAGGCACGAAAGCGUGGGGAUCAAACAGGAUUAGAUACCCUGGUAGUCCACGCCCUAAACUAUGGAUACUCGACAUACGCGAUACACAGUGUGUGUCUGAGCGAAAGCAUUAAGUAUCCCACCUGGGAAGUACGACCGCAAGGUUGAAACUCAAAGGAAUUGACGG